AGUGAACGCUGGCGGUAGGCCUAACACAUGCAAGUCGAACGGCAGCACAGUAAGAGCUUGCUCUUACGGGUGGCGAGUGGCGGACGGGUGAGGAAUACAUCGGAAUCUACUUUUUCGUGGGGGAUAACGUAGGGAAACUUACGCUAAUACCGCAUAUGAUCUACGGGUGAAAGCAGGGGAUCUUCGGACCUUUCGCGAUUGAAUGAGCCGAUGCCGGAUUAGCUAGUUGGUGGGGUAAAGGCCCACCAAGGCGACGAUCCGUAGCUGGUCUGAGAGGAUGAUCGGCCACACUGGAACUGAGACACGGUCCAGACUCCUACGGGAGGCAGCAGUAGGGAAUAUUGGGCAAUGGGCGCAAGCCUGAUCCAGCCAUGCCGCGUGGGUGAAGAAGGCCUUCGGGUUGUAAAACCCUUUUAUUGGGGAAGAAAAGCAGCGGGUUAAUACCCCGCUGUUCUGACGGUACCCAAAGAAUAAGCACCGGCUAACUUCGUG
rnacentral:rRNA from 1 species